UUGGGGAGGCUGAUACAUAGUGGAUGCGGCGGGCGCUCGAUACAGGCGAGGCGGGCGGGUGGCCAGCGAAUGGAUCCAGCCACGCGCGAGGGAAUCGGGGGCCGGUCGAUCCAGCCGUCGGGCGAUCCACGAGGGAGGUAGGAAGAGGAGUAAUGGUGCCUCAUCUUUCGGAAACUGCUCCACUCAGAUUUCAAACACACAAUUACACUUCAGUUUCUAAGCACACAUAGAAAGAGAUUGAUGAGGAUGCAGUGCACGGAGCAGCCGUUUCUACAGAACAUUAAUGCAUUAUUAAUGGAGUAGGGGUGUGCCACACGACGGAUGGUGGAGGUCAGGUACCUACAUAUGCUCUGUCUGGUCACCCAGGUUCUUCUCCCUUCUUCCUCCAGCAGUACCACAGUAGCAUCUACAGCUAUGCUUCUCCACUAUAUCGUUCCUCAUCUUCAAUUUUGAUGCAGAUUUCACUUCCCCAAUACAAUCCCUUCACACUCAAUAUAUGUACUCUGAUCGGGCUCCUGCUGUUGCUGAUUUCCGCUUUUAAUUUGUUGCAGUUAUUGUCGCCCAAGUGUUCGGGACUGGUUCUGCCUUAUUGGUUCAACAAAUUUAUGUAGGGUGUUUCUAGGGUUAUUUUUGUUCCUACAUUCUGAAACUGAGGAUCCCAAUCGCUGCUGGAAGGUUGUUUAGGACGGCAGAUCCUUACACGCAAGCAUAAUGUUGUUCUACACACUCUUAGUUUGUUCUUAUAUGAUAAAAUGACAUAUCUAAUGUCUAGAGUUCUUGCAAAGAAGAAAGCAUUAUUGAAUGUUUGGUGCUCCCAGUGUGUGCCUGAUUGUAGGGGUACAUUACAGUUUCACUGCAUAAGACAUGGAGAUGGGGGAUGUGGUUUCGCCUAUUGUGCCUCGGCGCCAACUCGGCUUUAGGCGCCAGCAGUGCGAGCACCACGAAAUGACCACCAUUGAAGGCAGCUGGAGAAAGAAUCUACACCGUGGACGUCCUUUUCCUUUUCUCCAAUCGAGAGAGCCACUGCAGUUCCCAAAGUGGUCUGUCUUCACAACAUCGACCAGGAAAGGAGUCUCCAGUUUAGUCUUCUUUGGUUACUUCAGAUUGUACCAUAAUUAAACGGCUUCUGGCAUUCCAGUUAACUAAAAGUCUCUUCCUUUUGCACUCUAUCUACACCUUCUCCUUUGGGGUUAUUGGAAUUAUUUUCAGUAUGAUUGAAUUGGUUGUUCCAA